rnacentral:rRNA from 1 species
GACGAACGCUGGCGGCGUGCUUAACACAUGCAAGUCGAACGGAAAGGCCCUGCUUUUGUGGGGUGCUCGAGUGGCGAACGGGUGAGUAACACGUGAGUAACCCGCCCUUGACUUUGGGAUAACUUCAGGAAACUGGGGCUAAUACCGGAUAGGAGCUCCUGCUGCAUGGUGGGGGUUGGAAAGUUUCGGCGGUUGGGGAUGGACUCGCGGCUUAUCAGCUUGUUGGUGGGGUAGUGGCUUACCAAGGCUUUGACGGGUAGCCGGCCUGAGAGGGUGACCGGCCACAUUGGGACUGAGAUACGGCCCAGACUCCUACGGGAGGCAGCAGUGGGGAAUAUUGCACAAUGGGCGGAAGCCUGAUGCAGCAACGCCGCGUGCGGGAUGACGGCCUUCGGGUUGUAAACCGCUUUCGCCUGUGACGAAGCGUGAGUGACGGUAAUGGGUAAAGAAGCACCGGCUAACUACGUGCCAGCAGCCGCGGUGAUACGUAGGGUGCGAGCGUUGUCCGGAUUUAUUGGGCGUAAAGGGCUCGUAGGUGGUUGAUCGCGUCGGAAGUGUAAUCUUGGGGCUUAACCCUGAGCGUGCUUUCGAUACGGGUUGACUUGAGGAAGGUAGGGGAGAAUGGAAUUCCUGGUGGAGCGGUGGAAUGCGCAGAUAUCAGGAGGAACACCAGUGGCGAAGGCGGUUCUCUGGGCCUUUCCUGACGCUGAGGAGCGAAAGCGUGGGGAGCGAACAGGCUUAGAUACCCUGGUAGUCCACGCUGUAAACGGUGGGUACUAGGUGUGGGGUCCAUUCCACGGGUUCCGUGCCGUAGCUAACGCUUUAAGUACCCCGCCUGGGGAGUACGGCCGCAAGGCUAAAACUCAAAGGAAUUGACGGGGCCCCGCACAAGCGGCGGAGCAUGCGGAUUAAUUCGAUGCAACGCGUAGAACCUUACCUGGGUUUGACAUGGAUCGGGAGCGCUCAGAGAUGGGUGUGCCUCUUUUGGGGUCGGUUCACAGGUGGUGCAUGGCUGUCGUCAGCUCGUGUCGUGAGAUGUUGGGUUAAGUCCCGCAACGAGCGCAACCCUUGUUCACUGUUGCCAGCACGUUAUGGUGGGGACUCAGUGGAGACCGCCGGGGUCAACUCGGAGGAAGGUGGGGAUGACGUCAAGUCAUCAUGCCCCUUAUGUCCAGGGCUUCACGCAUGCUACAAUGGCUGGUACAGAGAGUGGCGAGCCUGUGAGGGUGAGCGAAUCUCGGAAAGCCGGUCUCAGUUCGGAUUGGGGUCUGCAACUCGACCUCAUGAAGUCGGAGUCGCUAGUAAUCGCAGAUCAGCAACGCUGCGGUGAAUACGUUCCCGGG